UCCGGCUUAUCACCGGCGGUUUCUUUAGAGUGCCCAACUAAAUGAUGGCAACUAAAGACGAGGGUUGCGCUCGUUGCGGGACUUAACCCAACAUCUCACGACACGAGCUGACGACAGCCAUGCAGCACCUGUGUAAAGGUUCUCUUUCGAGCACUCCUCAAUCUCUCGAGGAUUCCUUCCAUGUCAAGGGUAGGUAAGGUUUUUCGCGUUGCAUCGAAUUAAUCCACAUCAUCCACCGCUUGUGCGGGUCCCCGUCAAUUCCUUUGAGUUUUAAUCUUGCGACCGUACUCCCCAGGCGGUCUACUUCACGCGUUAGCUGCGUUACCAAGUCAAUUAAGACCCGACAACUAGUAGACAUCGUUUAGGGCGUGGACUAC
rnacentral:misc_RNA from 1 species